CCUCUAGAUGUUCUGGGCCGCACGCGCGCUACACUGAUGCAUUCAACGAGCCUAUCCUUGACCGACAGGUCCGGGUAAUCUUUGAAUCUGCAUCGUGACGGGGAUAGAUUAUUGCAAUUAUUAAUCUUCAACGAGGAAUGCCUAGUAGGCGCAAGUCAUCAGCUUGCGUCGAUUACGUCCCUGCCCUUUGUACACACCGCCCGUCGCUCCUACCGAUUGGGUGUGCUGGUGAAAUGUUCGGAUCGGCCGUUUGUCGCGGUUUCCGCGUCAUGUGGCUGAGAAGUUCAUUAAACCCUCCCACCUAGAGGAAGGAGAAGUCGUAACA
rnacentral:rRNA from 1 species